GUUUCCCACCAACCACUGCCUGAAAAUGAGCAUCCACCUCCCCCAGAGCAAUGACCCCUCCACCAGAAUAUGCCACCCCAAAAAGGGUCCUACUCAGUCCCAGUGAUAGUACAGCUCAGCUACUCCUCCCUCUGCUCACCCACAAAGCCAAUUCUAGAUGUGCCCAGUGCUGACAGGGAGCACGACCCAGGGGGAAUGCCUAGGUUCCCUCCCACCAUUCAGACAGCUAAUCUCAACUACUUAUCUCUCAUCCAGAGUCUACAUUCUAGACUAGAAAGGCCUAAGUGUUGGGCUUGGGGGACGGCCUUGCACAGAUUAAAUGCAAGAUACACAUUCUUCCUUUCAACUGGCCCCCUGGUGCUGGCAGGAACCCUGGAUGGAGGAAGGCUGGUGACUGGGUACAGAGAACCCUAUUGGGAGUUCUGGCUCCCCACCGUCCACCAUUACUCCUGCAGGCUCUAAGACCAGCACCCACCUUCUCUGGGCCUUUAUUUUUGCUUCCCUCUCAGUAAGAGGGAGGGAGGGUGAGGACUGAGGGAGGGAGGGUUAGCUGCUUUCUAGUCCUCCACUUAAAGGAUUUCUUAAAAUGCACGAGUCUGGCAGAGGUAAGCCACAAAGUCACUAACACUUUAGCAAGAAUGAGUUGUCUUGGGAGGCGAACAAUUUAGAAAAGGUGGAGGUGGUGGAAAGCAAAGUUAAGUGAGCAUGGUACUUGGAAAGUAACUCAGAGAUGACCCUACAUUUUUGAAUUCUGUGUUGAAGGCUGGAAGGCGUGGAUCCCUGGGAAGAGAUGGGAAGCCAGAGAUCUUUCAGUCCCCCUAGCACCCCGGAGUCCCAAAGACACUGCUCUGUCCCAGUACUUAAGCACAAUUCUACUGACUAUCUCAUCCAACAUACCCCAGACCCGCAACAUCAUGUCCCCAACACAGUAACAUUUACACUGUCAUCUCCACUCUCCGCAUUUUAUUUAGUCUUCUCUGGCCUGCAGUUCCCGCGUGCAAAUGGCCUUCCUCCAUGUCGUCGUCCGGCUUCAGAAAAUUCCCCAUCCUUCAAAAGCCCUGAUGAAGCGGCCCCCAAAAGGGCCAGCUCAGAUCCCACCCCAGGGACCAGGAAAUCAGACUCCUCUCCCUGAGCCCCUUAAAACUUUAUCCACACCUUUUCCCCAGCACUUGGCAUAUCCUAUCUUGGAUCAGGUUUGGCUCCUUUGGCUCCUCGGUUGACUGAGCGCUCCCUGAGAGCAGGAACUGGGCCUCCUCCGCCUCUCUAACCCAACAACCCAGCAGGGCGCCUGGCACACAGUGGGUGCUCGAGAAAUGCUGGAAGAAGGGGAACGCGGAGUCGGGAGCCAUCUAUCUCAAUUACGGCUCGGCCUCUGCUUCUUUGCCCAUCUAAGAACACAACUCUAGAGAACUGGGCCAUCAGACACUUUUCUUCGGCGGGAAAAAAAUUCCCAAACCAGAAGAUCCAACUCUCCCACAUCUUAAUUGCCCUCGGAAGUGACUCUCUAGGGGAAUAACACUGGAUUAAAAGGCAGUUCAAGGGGCCGGCCCCGUGGCCGAGAGAUUAAGUUCACGCACUCCGCUUCGGCAGCCCAGAGUUUCGCUGGUUCGGAUCCUGGGUGUGGACAUGGCACCGCUCACCAAGCCAUGCUGAGGGGGCACCCUGCAUGCCACAUCUAGAAGGACCCACAACUAAAAAUACACAACUAUGUACUGGGGGAUUUUGGGAGAAAAAUGAAAAAUAAAAUAAAAUAAAAUAAAGACAGUUCAAGGCAUGCCAAGAGGAAUUGUGAUUAUCUGCUCUAGGAGCAUUGUCCACACCAUGAAUUAUUAUGCACCCUGGACCUGUCUCUUUCGAGUCACUGACAAGUGGAGGAGACACCUAGUUUAAAACUCUAGCUUAGCCUCUGACCAGUGAAAACAUGUAGACCAUGUCAAAUUAGC
rnacentral:lncRNA from 1 species